UGGUAAACCCGACGUCUUCCAAACGUUUUAUGUCGAUUCGAAUUCGGCUAGCCGCA
rfam:Pseudogymnoascus pannorum VKM F-4519 (FW-2642) contig_2989, whole genome shotgun sequence.